UAGCUGGCCCUGAUUGUUUAGUGUCUGGAAUUCCCCUGUUUUAAGAGUGUUGUUUUUUAUUUGGUGUUGUGAUUUUAAGCUUGUUAAAAUAUUAGGAGUCAGAUUGUGUUGAUUGUCAUGGUUCAUAGCAUAUAUUUAAAAUAUUGAGUAUUAAAAUGGGUUGGAUAUUGUAGAAGGUUGGAUAAGGGAGAGUGUAGUGGAGAUAAAUAAUUCAGAUGUUGGGCGGGUGCUAGGGCCCAGGGGACAGCUUUUUCCCAUUGCCUGCCUUUCCUCUAGCCGGCGAGCUGGAUUGUUCUGCUCUGGCCAUGAGGCUUCUCCUUCCCUCCCGGGAUGGCUCCCCGCGUCCAUGGUUCUCUCCUUUUAGUGAGGGAAAGUGGGUGCCGCCAUUGUUGCUCUCCUGGUCAGGAGAAGCAGGGGGAGCAGGGAGAGUGCUGUUGACAUGCUGGUCAUGGGAGGAGGGCAGAGGUUCUGCCGUAGAAACUGACUUUGAUUCUACCAUUGACUGAUGCAACUUUCUGAAUUUUUGGGAAGCCAGAAAAAUGUUAUAUGAGCAGUAACAUUCUUGUAGAUCAGCCAUCAUGGCCUGUAUUCUAUCAAGAGAUGGAGUUGGAAACAGAUGAGGCUGAGGAUUUUGCAGACAAUUCUGCCCCAGGCCGAGGCCCUAUGACCUUGCAACUGCCUGAUAUGGUGGUUUCAGAAGAACCACUAAUUGGCAAACAUUCCGAAGUCUCUUCAUCGUUACCCACACCAGAUGGUGCUGACCUGGUUGAAGAUAAGACUUUUAAUUGGAAGGAAUUUGUUACUAGAGAUAGAAGCAAGAAAGAGGGAGUGAGAAGGUCUUGAAGAUUAGCUCACAAGUUGGAUGGCUAACUUUCCCAUGGGAAGUUUUUGUGGGUCCUGUAUUCCUUAAUUUCACAGGUUCGGGAUUUCUUAAAAGUGCCCCUCACUGUAUUCUUGUUGUGGUGUCAACUUUGCCUUUCCUCAGAAGAGGUUCCAGUUUCCAGCUCCUUGCCCGUGCUGAGUUCCCAUUUCCAGGCUAGCCAAGCCGCGACUCCCGAGUAGACCUUGCCUUGUUACCACAUCCGCUACGGGACUUUUCAAGUGGAUUUGCAACGAUUUGUUCCUGCUAUUGUUUCAUGGACAGACUUUGAUUUCUGAAAAGGAAGCUAUCGAGCUUCACUUGUGGAUUACAAUUUGGACAUUGCUGAACUCUUUCUGGGUUGCUAUUGACUGUAUAUUAAGGACUAUUUCUUACUCUUUCCACUUUAAAUGCGCAUAGAUAUAUAUAUUCUGCUUCAAUAAACAGCUUGUGUGUUA